ACCAGACUCCUACGGGAGGCAGCAGUGGGGAAUAUUGCACAAUGGGGGGAACCCUGAUGCAGCGACGCCGCGUGAGUGAAGAAGUAUUUCGGUAUGUAAAGCUCUAUCAGCAGGGAAGAAAAUGACGGUACCUGACUAAGAAGCCCCGGCUAACUACGUGCCAGCAGCCGCGGUAAUACGUAGGGGGCAAGCGUUAUCCGGAUUUACUGGGUGUAAAGGGAGCGCAGACGGCUGUGCAAGUCUGGAGUGAAAGGCGGGGGCCCAACCCCCGGACUGCUCUGGAAACUGUAAAGCUGGAGUGCAGGAGAGGUAAGCGGAAUUCCUAGUGUAGCGGUGAAAUGCGUAGAUAUUAGGAGGAACACCAGUGGCGAAGGCGGCUUACUGGACUGCAACUGACGUUGAGGCUCGAAAGCGUGGGGAGCAAACAGGAUUAGAUACCCCGGUA
rnacentral:rRNA from 1 species